rnacentral:rRNA from 1 species
UACGUAGGGGGGCAAGCGUUGUCCGGAUUUAUUGGGCGUAAAGAGCGUGUAGGCGGCCAGACAGGUCCGUUGUGAAAACUCGAGGCUCAACCUCGAGACGUCGAUGGAAACCGUCUGGCUAGAGUCCGGAAGAGGAGAGUGGAAUUCCUGGUGUAGCGGUGAAAUGCGCAGAUAUCAGGAAGAACACCCGUGGCGAAGGCGGCUCUCUGGGACGGUACUGACGCUGAGACGCGAAAGCGUGGGGAGCGAACAGG